rnacentral:rRNA from 1 species
AGUCCACAUCGACGGGGAGGUUUGGCACCUCGAUGUCGGCUCAUCACAUCCUGGGGCUGUAGUAGGUCCCAAGGGUUGGGCUGUUCGCCCAUUAAAGUGGUACGCGAGCUGGGUUCAGAACGUCGUGGGACAGUUCGGUCCCUAUCCGUCGCAGGCGUAGGAAAUUUGGGAAGACCUGUCCUUAGUACGAGAGGACCGGGAUGGACGUACCUCUGGUGUACCAGUUGU